UACGAAGGGGGCUAGCGUUGUUCGGAUUUACUGGGCGUAAAGAGCACGUAGGCGGAUCGUUAAGUGAGGGGUGAAAUCCCAGGGCUCAACCCUGGAACUGCCUUUCAUACUGGCGAUCUUGAGUCCGGAAGAGGUGAGUGGAACUCCGAGUGUAGAGGUGAAAUUCGUAGAUAUUCGGAAGAACACCAGUGGCGAAGGCGGCUCACUGGUCCGGUACUGACGCUGAUGUGCGAAAGCGUGGGGAGCAAACAGG
rnacentral:rRNA from 1 species